rnacentral:rRNA from 1 species
AGCGAACGCUGGCGGCAGGCUUAACACAUGCAAGUCGAGCGGGCACUUCGGUGUCAGCGGCAGACGGGUGAGUAACACGUGGGAACGUACCCUUUGGUUCGGAAUAACGCUGGGAAGCUAGCGCUAAUACCGGAUACGCCCUUUUGGGGAAAGGCUUGCUGCCGAAGGAUCGGCCCGCGUCUGAUUAGCUAGUUGGUGGGGUAAUGGCCUACCAAGGCGACGAUCAGUAGCUGGUCUGAGAGGAUGAUCAGCCACACUGGGACUGAGACACGGCCCAGACUCCUACGGGAAGCAGCAGUGGGGAAUAUUGGACAAUGGGCGCAAGCCUGAUCCAGCCAUGCCGCGUGAGUGAUGAAGGCCUUAGGGUUGUAAAGCUCUUUUGUCCGGGACGAUAAUGACGGUACCGGAAGAAUAAGCCCCGGCUAACUUCGUG